GAUCUACGGAUGAAANCGGGGGGAUCGCAGACCUCGCGCGAUUGGAGCGGCCGAUAUCAGAUUAGGUAGUUGGUGAGGUAAAGGCUCACCAAGCCGACGAUCUGUAGCUGGUCUGAGAGGACGACCAGCCACACUGGGACUGAGACACGGCCCAGACUCCUACGGGAGGCAGCAUGGGGAAUUUUGGACAAUGGGCGCAAGCCUGAUCCAGCAAUGCCGCGUGCAGGAUGAAGGCCUUCGGGUUGUAAACUGCUUUUGUACGGAACGAAACGGUGAGCUCUAAUACAGUUUGCUAAUGACGGUACCGUAAGAAUAAGCACCGGCUAACUACGUG
rnacentral:rRNA from 1 species